GUUUUUUUUUUUUUUUUUUUUUUCCGUAGAUGAACGCUGCGGCAGGCUAACACAUGCAAGUCGAACGGUAACAGGAAACAGCUUGCUGUUUCGCUGACGAGUGGCGGACGGGUGAGUAAUGUCUGGGAAACUGCGUGAUGGAGGGGGAUAACUACUGGAAACGGUAGCUAAUACCGCAUAACGUCGCAAGACCAAAGAGGGGGACCUUCGGGCCUCUUGCCAUAGGAUGUGCCCAGAUGGGAUUAGUUAGUAGGUGGGGUAACGGUUCACCUAGGCGACGAUCCCUAGCUGGUCUGAGAGGAUGUCCAGCCACACUGGAAUUGAGACACGGUCCAGAUUCUUACGGGAGGCAGCAGUGGGGAAUAUUGCACAAUGGGCGCAAUCCUGAUGCAGCCAUGCCGCGUGUAUGAAGAAGGCCUUCGGGUUGUAAAGUACUUUCAGCGGGGAGGAAGGGAGUAAAGUUAAUACCUUUGCUCAUUGACGUUACCCGCAGAAGAAGCACCGGCUAAUUCCGUGCCAGCAGCCGCGGUAAUACGGAGGGUGCAAGCGUUUAUCGGAAUUACUGGGCGUAAAGCGCACGCGGGCGGUUUGUUAAGUCAGAUGUGAAAUCCCCGGGUUCAACGUGGGAAGUGCAUGUGAUACGGGCAAGCUUGAGUCUGGUAGAGGGGGGUAGAAUUCCAGGUGUAGCGGUGAAAUGCGUAGAGAUCUGGAGGAAUACCGGUGGGGAAGGCGGCCCCCUGUACGAAGACUGACGCUCAGGUGCGAAAGCGUGGGGAGCAAACAGGAUUAGAUACCCUGGUAGUCCACGCCGUAAACGAUGUCGACUUGGAGGUUGUGCCCCUGAGGCGUGGCUUCCGGAGCUAACGCGUAAGUCGACCGCCUAGAGACGCGACUUGU
rnacentral:rRNA from 1 species